GAUGAACGCUUGCGGAAGGCCUAACACAUGCAAGCCGAGCGGUAUUGUUUCUUCGGAAAUGAGAGAGCGGCGUACGGGUGCGGAACACGUGUGCAACCUGCCUUUAUCUGGGGGAUAGCCUUUCGAAAGGAAGAUUAAUACUCCAUAAUAUAUUGAACGGCAUCGUUUAAUAUUGAAAGCUCCGGCGGAUAGAGAUGGGCACGCGCAAGAUUAGCUAGUUGGUGAGGUAACGGCUCACCAAGGCGAUGAUCUUUAGGGGGCCUGAGAGGGUGAUCCCCCACACUGGUACUGAGACACGGACCAGACUCCUACGGGAGGCAGCAGUGAGGAAUAUUGGUCAAUGGGUGCAAGCCUGAACCAGCCAUCCCGCGUGAAGGACGACUGCCCUAUGGGUUGUAAACUUCUUUUGUAUAGGGAUAAACCUACCCUCGUGAGGGUAGCUGAAGGUACUAUACGAAUAAGCACCGGCUAACUCCGUGCCAGCAGCCGCGGUAAUACGGAGGGUGCAAGCGUUAUCCGGAUUUAUUGGGUUUAAAGGGUCCGUAGGCGGACUUAUAAGUCAGUGGUGAAAGCCUGUCGCUUAACGAUAGAACUGCCAUUGAUACUGUAAGUCUUGAGUAUAUUUGAGGUAGCUGGAAUAAGUAGUGUAGCGGUGAAAUGCAUAGAUAUUACUUAGAACACCAAUUGCGAAGGCAGGUUACCAAGAUAUAACUGACGCUGAGGGACGAAAGCGUGGGGAGCGAACAGGAUUAGAUACCCUGGUAGUCCACGCCGUAAACGAUGCUAACUCGUUUUUGGGCUUUAGGGUUCAGAGACCAAGCGAAAGUGAUAAGUUAGCCACCUGGGGAGUACGCUCGCAAGUGUGAAACUCAAAGGAAUUGACGGGGGCCCGCACAAGCGGUGGAUUAUGUGGUUUAAUUCGAUGAUACGCGAGGAACCUUACCAAGACUUAAAUGGGAAUUGACAGCUUUAGAAAUAGAGCUUUCUUCGGACAAUUUUCAAGGUGCUGCAUGGUUGUCGUCAGCUCGUGCCGUGAGGUGUUAGGUUAAGUCCUGCAACGAGCGCAACCCCUGUCACUAGUUGCCAUCAUUCAGUUGGGGACUCUAGUGAGACUGCCUACGCAAGUAGAGAGGAAGGUGGGGAUGACGUCAAAUCAUCACGGCCCUUACGUCUUGGGCCACACACGUAAUACAAUGGCCGGUACAGAGGGCAGCUACACAGCGAUGUGAUGCAAAUCUCGAAAGCCGGUCUCAGUUCGGAUUGGAGUCUGCAACUCGACUCUAUGAAGCUGGAAUCGCUAGUAAUCGCGCAUCAGCCAUGGCGCGGUGAAUACGUUCCCGGGCCU
rnacentral:rRNA from 1 species